rnacentral:rRNA from 1 species
UGGGGAAUAUUGCACAAUGGGCGCAAGCCUGAUGCAGCGACGCCGCGUGGGGGAUGACGGCCUUCGGGUUGUAAACUCCUUUCGCCAGGGACGAAGCGUUUUGUGACGGUACCUGGAGAAGAAGCACCGGCUAACUACGUGCCAGCAGCCGCGGUAAUACGUAGGGUGCAAGCGUUGUCCGGAAUUACUGGGCGUAAAGAGCUCGUAGGUGGUUUGUUUCACGUCGUCUGUGAAAUUCCACAGCUUAACUGUGGGCGUGCAGGCGAUACGGGCUGACUUGAGUACUGUAGGGGUAACUGGAAUUCCUGGUGUAGCGGUGAAAUGCGCAGAUAUCAGGAGGAACACCGAUGGCGAAGGCAGGUUACUGGGCAGUUACUGACGCUGAGGAGCGAAAGCAUGGGUAGCAAACAGGAUUAGAUACCCUGGUAGUCCAUGCCGUAAACGGUGGGCGCUAGGUGUAGGGGCCUUUUGGGGUUUCUGUGCCGUAGCUAACGCAUUAAGCGCCCCGCCUGGGGAGUACGGCCGCAAGGCUA